rnacentral:misc_RNA from 1 species
GUACUUUCAGACUGGUAAAAUGUAUUUCUGCCACACUGAUUUCGUUCUAUCCUAAACUUAAGAAGCCAUGUUUCCUGUUGCACGAAUCUUAGGCUCGACAUCAUGCAACAGGCUAUUUCAACGUCAGGGGCUCUGUCGAGAAAGUGUUUGUUGGCCUUCCAAUGAGUUGCACAGAAAUUUACCAAGGCAUAGAAACUUUUGCCAAGGUAGAAACAUUUUCCACCCGAGGUCGAAUAAUAUUUUAAACAAACUUCCUGUCAAACGUCAAUUCACUGACAAAUUUUCCGAGAAGGGCAGAGGCGAGGAACUUAACUAUGUUCUCAAGCUUGCCUCAGAGCAAUUUAUGAAGAUAAAAAAGAACCGGGUUAAAGAAAUCGCCAAUGAUAUCGUGAAAUUGAAAGAGGAGAUCAAGACUUUGGAGUCCAAAACUAGCCACAAAUCAAGGAAACAGAAGGAGAAUCUCCUUAAGGAGUUGAAAGCUCUGAAGGAUUUGUUGGAGCAAUUCAAAAAGAGUCUCGAAAAAUGACCUGAAUGAAAUGUAUCAACAAACGUUUUGGCGCGCUCCGUAAGGAUACAAUGCUGAAGGUGGUCGAGAAGCUUUUCCAACUGUUGCGACCCAGGAUGUGUCAGUUUUCGCAAUCGAACAAGAACAUAUCCAAGCAUUUGUUCGAGAAAGCCAGGGCGGAGGAGAACAUACAUUUCCUUAAGCUGCAACGGGAACAGCUGAAGACGCUGCGA